CAGGAUGAACGCUAGCGGCAGGCCUAAUACAUGCAAGUCGAGGGGCAGCACGAUCUUCGGAUUGGUGGCGACCGGCGCACGGGUGCGUAACGCGUAUGCAACCUACCCUUUACUACGGGAUAGCCCGGGGAAACUCGGAUUAAUAUCGUAUGGAAUCAUCAGAUGGCAUCUGACGAUGAUUAAAGAUUUAUCGGUAAAGGAUGGACAUGCGUGACAUUAGUUAGUUGGUGAGGUAACGGCUCACCAAGGCGAUGAUGUCUAGGGGUUCUGAGAGGAUGAUCCCCCACACUGGCACUGAGAUACGGGCCAGACUCCUAC
rnacentral:rRNA from 1 species